rnacentral:rRNA from 1 species
AAAUAGAUACCCGGGUAGUCCACGCCGUAAACGAUGAGCGCUAAGUGUUGGGGGGUUUCCGCCCCUCAGUGCUGCAGCUAACGCAUUAAGCACUCCGCCUGGGGAGUACGGUCGCAAGACUGAAACUCAAAGGAAUUGACGGGGGCCCGCACAAGCGGUGGAGCAUGUGGUUUAAUUCGAAGCAACGCAAAGAACCUUACCAGGUCUUGACAUCCCGGUGACCACUAUGGAGACAUAGUUUCCCCUUCGGGGGCAACGGUGACAGGUGGUGCAUGGUUGUCGUCAGCUCGUGUCGUGAGAUGUUGGGUUAAGUCCCGCAACGAGCGCAACCCUUAUUCUUAGUUGCCAUCAUUCAGUUGGGCACUCUAAGGAGACUGCCGGUGAUAAACCGGAGGAAGUGGGGAUGACGUCAAAUCAUCAUGCCCCUUAUGACCUGGGCUACACACGUGCUACAAUGGACGGUACAAACGGUUGCCAACCCGCGAGGGGAGCUAAUCCGAUAAAACCGUUCUCAGUUCGGAUUGUAGGCUGCAACUCGCCUACAUGAACG